rnacentral:rRNA from 1 species
CAAGUCGAGGGGCAUCGGGGAGAGCUUCGGCUUUCCCGCCGGCGACCGGCGCACGGGUGAGUAACGCGUAUCCAACCUGCCCAUGGCUGGGGAUAACCUUGCGAAAGCAAGCCUAAUACCCCAUGGCCUCCCUCUGGGGCAUCCCGGAGGGAGUAAAGGAGCGAUCCGGCGAUGGAUGGGGAUGCGUCCGAUUAGCUUGCCGGUGGGGUAACGGCCCACCUAGUCAACGAUGGAUAGGGGUUCUGAGAGGAAGGUCCCCACAUUGGGACUGAGACACGGUCCAUACUCC